rnacentral:rRNA from 1 species
GUGGGGAAUAUUGGACAAUGGGCGAAAGCCUGAUCCAGCCAUGCCGCGUGUGUGAAGAAGGUCUUCGGAUUGUAAAGCACUUUAAGUUGGGAGGAAGGGCAGUAAGUUAAUACCUUGCUGUUUUGACGUUACCGACAGAAUAAGCACCGGCUAACUUCGUGCCAGCAGCCGCGUUAAUACGAAGGGUGCAAGCGUUAAUCGGAAUUACUGGGCGUAAAGCGCGCGUAGGUGGUUUUGUAAGUUGGAGGUGAAAUCCCCGGGCUCAACCUGGGAACUGCCUCCAAAACUGCAUGACUAGAGUACGGUAGAGGGUAGUGGAAUUUCCUGUGUAGCGGUGAAAUGCGUAGAUAUAGGAAGGAACACCAGUGGCGAAGGCGACUACCUGGACUGAUACUGACACUGAGGUGCGAAAGCGUGGGGAGCAAACAGGAUUAGAAACCCUAGUAGUCC